rnacentral:rRNA from 1 species
UACGUAGGGGGCAAGCGUUGUCCGGAAUCAUUGGGCGUAAAGAGCGUGUAGGCGGCGCGGUAAGUCGGGUGUGAAAUCUCGGAGCUUAACUCCGAAACUGCAUUCGAUACUGCCGUGCUUGAGGACUGGAGAGGAGACUGGAAUUUACGGUGUAGCGGUGAAAUGCGUAGAUAUCGUAAGGAAGACCAGUGGCGAAGGCGGGUCUCUGGACAGUUCCUGACGCUGAGGCACGAAGGCCAGGGGAGCAAACGGG